rnacentral:rRNA from 1 species
AUUGAACGCUGGCGGCAUGCCUAACACAUGCAAGUCGAGCGGAUGAAUGGAGCUUGCUCCUGGAUUCAGCGGCGGACGGGUGAGUAAUGCCUAUGAAUCUGCCUGGUAGUGGGGGAUAACGUCCGGAAACGGGCGCUAAUACCGCAUACGUCCUGAUGUAGAAAGUGGGUGAUCUUCGGACCUCACGCUAUCAGAUGAGCCUAGGUCGGAUUAGCUAGUUGGUGGGGUAAAGGCAUAACAAGGCGACGAUCCGUAACUGGUCUGAGAGGAUGAUCAGUCACACUGGAACUGAGACACGGUACAGACUCCUACGGGAGGAAGCAGUGGGGAAUAUUGGACAAUGGGCGAAAGCCUGAUCCAGCCAUGCCGCGUGUGUGAAGAAGGUCUUCGGAUUGUAAAGCACUUUAAGUUGGGAGGAAGGGCAGUAAGUUAAUACCUUGCUGUUUUGACGUUACCAACAGAAUAAGCACCGGCUAACUUCGUG